ACCUACCUCUGACUGGAGGAUAGCCCGAAGAAAUUCGGAUUAAUACUCCAUAAUACUAUGGACAGGCAUCUGUUCAUGGUUAAAGCCCCGGCGGUCAGAGAUGGGCAUGCGUGACAUUAGCUUGUUGGUGAGGUAACAGCUCACCAAGGCUACGAUGUCUAGGGGGUCUGAGAGGAUGGUCCCCCACACUGGUACUGAGACACGGACCAGACUCCUACGGGAGGCAGCAGUGAGGAAUAUUGGUCAAUGGGCGAAAGCCUGAACCAGCCAUGCCGCGUGAAGGAUGACAGCCCUAUGGGUUGUAAACUUCUUUUGUACGGGAAGAAACGCUUCUACGUGUAGAGGUUUGACGGUACCGUACGAAUAAGCAUCGGCUAACUCCGUGCCAGCAGCCGCGGUAAUACGGAGGAUGCAAGCGUUAUCCGGAUUUAUUGGGUUUAAAGGGUACGUAGGCGGGAGCUUAAGUCAGUGGUGAAAUCCUGCAGCUUAACUGUAGAACUGUCAUUGAUACUGGGCUUCUUGAAUGUAGUUGAGGUAGGCGGAAUGUGUAAUGUAGCGGUGAAAUGCUUAGAUAUUACACAGAACACCGAUUGCGAAGGCAGCUUACUAAACUACGAUUGACGCUGAGGUACGAAAGCGUGGGGAGCGAACAGGAUUAGAUACCCUGGUAGUCCACGCUGUAAACGAUGAUCACUCGUUGUUGGCAAUACACCGUCAGCGACUGAGCGAAAGCAUUAAGUGAUCCACCUGGGGAGUACGACCGCAAGGUUGAAACUCAAAGGAAUUGACGGGGGCCCGCACAAGCGGAGGAACAUGUGGUUUAAUUCGAUGCUACGCGAGGAACCUUACCUGGGCUUAAAUGUAGAACGACGGACCGGGAAACUGGUCUUUCUUCGGACGGUCUGCAAGGUGCUGCAUGGCUGUCGUCAGCUCGUGCCGUGAGGUGUCGGGUUAAGUCCCAUAACGAGCGCAACCCUCAUCAUUAGUUGCCAGCGGGUAAUGCCGGGGACUCUAAUGAAACUGCCGGUGUAAACCGAGAGGAAGGUGGGGAUGACGUCAAGUCAGCACGGCCCUUAUGUCCAGGGCUACACACGUGUUACAAUGGUCGGUACAAAGGGCAGCUACCUGGCGACAGGAU
rnacentral:rRNA from 1 species